GGAUGGAUAGAGUUUCCUUCAUUCAAAAAGGUAUUUCAUCUAACCGAAAGUAUGAAAAUACUCUCGAUGUUUAGAUAACAUAACCUUUCAAGUCAGAAGAGAUAACCCACAAAAAAAGUCUCGUUAAAACCCCUCAAGAGUAAAACCCUAAGGAAAAAAAACUCAAGGGGAAAAAGAGUGCCCUACAAAAUUACAUCUUUUAAAAAAGAGACUAAAAACUGAUGUAUUCUUUAUUUCCUUCUAUCAAUAUUUGUAGCUUAAUUGUCUUGUACAUCAAAGUUCUCGUCUUCUCGGAAGCAGCCUUAGUAACUAAGUUCAUAAAAUAUCUUUCAAACAUCCUGAAAACAAGACAAAACCAAAUAAAAGUAAUAUGAGUGAAUUUGAAAAAACUUAAUGCCUCUAUGGGCCAAAAGAUGCCCAAAUCAUGGUCGCCAUAUAUGGUACCAAAAACCGUUAAUUAAGAAUAAUUAAUAUCCUUAAUUAAGGCACAAUUAUUGGCCAAUUAGCAUCUUCUUCUUACCCCUUCUUACCCCUUCUAGACUUCUCCACUACCACCACGAAUGUUACAAUUCAUUGUUGUGCAAAAAGCUCCUGCAUUCAUAGUUGUAACCAAAGCAAAUAAUAUCACCAGAACCAACACAAAUAAAUACACCAAUAAAAUUUAUUUGAAUGUUAACAAAGAUCCAAAAUUAUUAAAAGAUAAGAAUAGACAGAAUGCAAAAAAAAAAUAAUGCAAAAAUAAACGAGGGAAAAUGAAAUUAAGAACUUCAAGAGGUAAAGGCGAAAGAAUACUUCCCGAAUAGCUUGUUUUAAGACCCAAGAUUUUUAACAGAACUAGCUAGGUCACAUGCUUGAUUAGAAAAGUGCCGCCAUGAGGUCGAAAAAUAGGGAGAUCAGCAGAUGCACAAACGGAAGAUGAAGAAUCAAAGCGAAAGCCGAUUGUCGGGGGUUGUAUGUAUUUUGAAUACGAGGAAAGAUAGAUCACCAAAAGAUUCACAAAAAAAACACACGAUUAGAACAGUAGCUGUGAUUUGGGGGCUAGGGUUUUACAAAACUCUCUUCUCAUUUUUAUCAACCAGAGAGAAAGAGAGAGAUGGGAGAGGGGGG
rnacentral:lncRNA from 1 species